AAAAUUUAUGAUCUACUAUUUUUUUAAAUAAAUUUUUAUAAUAAUUUAAUUAAUUUACGAUUUAAGAAUUAUCAAGAUAGUAUCAGCAUAGAAUACUAUAGAAACGACACUCCCCCCACCACUUCACUUUUUUUCAUUUUGGCAGCGGACUGAUUGAUGUUGUAAGCAUAGCGGGAGAACAUGAAGUUAUGCACCUUAUCAAAUUAAUUCAGGCAGAACAAAGGAUUUCGGGAGAGUGUCGUUUCUAUAGUAUUCUAUGGUAUCAGUAAAAUCAUGAUAAUGAUUUACACUGAGAUAGAUAAGAAUAUUCUUCCGUAUAUUCUUAUCACGGUUAAAAUAUUAUCCAUUACAUUUUUUGACGAAAAGAUAAACGUUUUUCGAAAAAAAUUUCUGAAGUAGGUACCUAAAACCUAAUUAUUAGAAUUGAGUUCUUGACAUGACAAUUGACAUUUGACAAAUAUUUUAGCAGUUAUAUCAAUAUUUGUCAAUAAUUAUGUCAUAAUUUAAUAUUAUUAUUAUCUUAUAAUGAGCAAACGCAAGUUGAGUGGACAAAAAACUAUGCUAACACAAUGGUUACAGAAUAAAACUCAUUCAGAAAGGACAGAAGAAAAACGAUCAAAGAUUGAUAAUGACCGUGAGCCACAUUAUAGUGUAAAUUAAAAUGCUCUUUUACUAUCAGAUUUAAAUUCAACUAAUACUUGUAGUAGUACAUCACAAGAGAAGCCUUUAGAUGGAGGACCAAAGGAGAUUGAUAAUGACCACAUCAAAUAUCCUGUAGAAGACAAUAUUUCGACUAAUACUAGUACAUCA